rnacentral:rRNA from 1 species
AUUGAACGCUGGCGGCGUGCUUAACACAUGCAAGUCGUGCGGUAACAGGCGUAGCAAUACGCGCUGACGAGCGGCGAACGGGUGCGUAAUACAUGGGAAUCUGCCCUUUAGUGGGGAAUAACCCGGCGAAAGCCGGGCUAAUGCCGCAUAAGAUCUUCGGAUGAAAGCGGGGGACCGUAAGGCCUCGCGCUGAUGGAUGAGCCCAUGUCGGAUUAGCUAGUGGUGAGGUAACGGCUCACCAAGGCGACGAUCCGUAGCUGGUCUGAGAGGACGGCCAGCCACACUGGGACUGAGACACGGCCCAGACUCCUACGGGAGGCAGCAGUGGGGAAUAUUGGACAAUGGGCGAAAGCCUGAUCCAGCGACGCCGCGUGUGUGAAGAAGGCC